CUCCGCUAUGUUUUAUAGCAGGCUUUUUAGCGCUGUAGGAAAAAGCAAACUGAUGUUGCUCAGUGCGUGCUCUGUGCUUUUGCACGGGAGGUGACCGUGAGGGCCAGGACUCAGUUUCUGAGCAGAGACUCGGGCUGCGUCGGUUCUGUUGGCCUGUGGAUACAACGCCGGCCUGACUCAAUGGAGAAUGCUCCAAAUCACAGGAGGUUUCACUUUGGACUAGCUCUAGUCCUUGCCAGAAGAUUGAAUUCUCCUUGGCUGCUGGAGCACCUUAAGUACCUUCCUGACCCAUAACUUGCCAAUCCGCGCCCGACAUUUAAACAGAGAAAAACAGCUCAUCACCAGGACUGUGUUAGGGUUGCUUUGACAUAUGAAGACAGGCUGCAUUUUGAGCCAUCCCUGGUGUGGUGUGGCUUUUUUGCUUUUGUUGCAUUUCUGUUGCUUUUUCUUUCCUGUGUUUCUUGAAAACUCUGCUGAUGAACUGUUACUAUAAUCACUCGCAAUUUGGAGGCAAAGGCAGCUCCUGGGAAACCGUGUCACGGAUGCCUGGGAAUGUCCUCCAAGUCACCUAGCUCCAUAACACUGCUGCACUGUGGAACUCCCAUGCCUGCAGGGGAAAGCCAGCAAUUUGCCUCAUGAAACCAAGAGGAGACUGAUCUGCUUUCUCUACUUGUAUCAUAAGAUCCCAGCCAGUGCCUGCUGUAAUCGUUUUCUCUGGGAAGUGAUGGCUAGAAAAAACCUUGUGGCUGGUGAUCGCAAAAGACUUUCUGCAGAGAUCUUCGAAGCAGAUGGUUAUGGAUCACCGAGAGCUUCCCAGAAUAACUGGAAAAGGGGCAUGAAAGGUGUUCGGUAGGAUUAGUCCUCCCAAAGAUCACUUUGGAGUAUCGCUUGUCCCAAAUCCCUUCCCAUCAGCAGUCAUUGUCCUGAAUCGUUAUUCUUCUCCAAAAUUCUGGCUCUUGGAUGGAAAUUGGAAUAUACUUUCUCCUUCUUGCAUUUGUUAAUGAAUAUAUCCAGUUUACCCACGAAGCUCUACAUGGCAUGAUAAACUAAUUGCAUGCCAUAUUAUACUUUCCUCAUGCACUGCAGACUGUUUCAGCACUAGGAAGAAUUCACGCAUAACCACAAAUCCUCAAGGGAUGGAAUUCAAGAGAUAUCCAGUGGUCAGGAAUCUCUAGAAACUGAAAGGCUUUUGAGUUAUUUGCUUUUAAGUAGAUGGUUUGUUUUUUAACAAAAUGGAAACUCUUAAUAAAUUUUCAUGUGAUUGAAUACUU
rnacentral:lncRNA from 1 species